UACGUAGGUGGCAAGCGUUGUCCGGAUUUACUGGGCGUAAAGGAUGCGUAGGCGGCCAUUUAAGUCAGAUGUGAAAUACCCGAGCUUAACUUGGGUGCUGCAUUUGAAACUGGGUGUCUAGAGUGCAGGAGAGGUAAGUGGAAUUCCUAGUGUAGCGGUGAAAUGCGUAGAGAUUAGGAAGAACACCAGUGGCGAAGGCGACUUACUGGACUGUAACUGACGCUGAGGCAUGAAAGCUAGGGGAGCAAACAGG
rnacentral:rRNA from 1 species